rnacentral:rRNA from 1 species
GACGUAGGGCGCGAGCGUUGUCCGGAUUUAUUGGGCGUAAAGAGCUCGUAGGCGGCUUGUCGCGUCGACCGUGAAAACUUGGGGCUCAACCCCAAGCCUGCGGUCGAUACGGGCAGGCUCGAGUUCGGUAGGGGAGACUGGAAUUCCUGGUGUAGCGGUGAAAUGCGCAGAUAUCAGGAGGAACACCGAUGGCGAAGGCAGGUCUCUGGGCCGAUACUGACGCUGAGGAGCGAAAGCGUGGGGAGCGAACAGGAUUAGAACCCGUACCGU